rnacentral:rRNA from 1 species
CAGCCGUAAACUAUGCGCGUUAGGUGUAUCGGUGACCACGAGUUACCGAGGUGCCGAAGGGAAACCGUGAAACGUGCCGCCUGGGAAGUACGGUCGCAAGGCUGAAACUUAAAGGAAUUGGCGGGGGGAGGCACCACAACAGGUGGAGCCUGCGGUUUAAUUGGACUCAACGCCGGGAAGCUCACCGGAUAGGACAGCAGAAUGAUUGCCGGGCUGAAGACCCUGCAUGACUAGCUGAGAGGUGGUGCAUGGCGUCAGUGACUGU